GGGUUGUGAGGUUAAGCGACUAAGCGUACACGGUGGAUGCCCUGGCAGUCAGAGGCGAUGAAGGACGUGCUAAUCUGCGAUAAGCGUCGGUAAGGUGAUAUGAACCGUUAUAACCGGCGAUUUCCGAAUGGGGAAACCCAGUGUGUUUCGACACACUAUCAUUAACUGAAUCCAUAGGUUAAUGAGGCGAACCGGGGGAACUGAAACAUCUAAGUACCCCGAGGAAAAGAAAUCAACCGAGAUUCCCCCAGUAGCGGCGAGCGAACGGGGAGCAGCCCAGAGCCUGAAUCAGUGUGUGUGUUAGUGGAAGCGUCUGGAAAGGCGCGCGAUACAGGGUGACAGCCCCGUACACAAAAAUGCACAUGCUGUGAGCUCGAUGAGUAGGGCGGGACACGUGGUAUCCUGUCUGAAUAUGGGGGGACCAUCCUCCAAGGCUAAAUACUCCUGACUGACCGAUAGUGAACCAGUACCGUGAGGGAAAGGCGAAAAGAACCCCGGCGAGGGGAGUGAAAAAGAACCUGAAACCGUGUACGUACAAGCAGUGGGAGCACGCUUAGGCGUGUGACUGCGUACCUUUUGUAUAAUGGGUCAGCGACUUAUAUUCUGUAGCAAGGUUAACCGAAUAGGGGAGCCGAAGGGAAACCGAGUCUUAACUGGGCGUUAAGUUGCAGGGUAUAGACCCGAAACCCGGUGAUCUAGCCAUGGGCAGGUUGAAGGUUGGGUAACACUAACUGGAGGACCGAACCGACUAAUGUUGAAAAAUUAGCGGAUGACUUGUGGCUGGGGGUGAAAGGCCAAUCAAACCGGGAGAUAGCUGGUUCUCCCCGAAAGCUAUUUAGGUAGCGCCUCGUGAAUUCAUCUCCGGGGGUAGAGCACUGUUUCGGCAAGGGGGUCAUCCCGACUUACCAACCCGAUGCAAACUGCGAAUACCGGAGAAUGUUAUCACGGGAGACACACGGCGGGUGCUAACGUCCGUCGUGAAGAGGGAAACAACCCAGACCGCCAGCUAAGGUCCCAAAGUCAUGGUUAAGUGGGAAACGAUGUGGGAAGGCCCAGACAGCCAGGAUGUUGGCUUAGAAGCAGCCAUCAUUUAAAGAAAGCGUAAUAGCUCACUGGUCGAGUCGGCCUGCGCGGAAGAUGUAACGGGGCUAAACCAUGCACCGAAGCUGCGGCAGCGACGCUUAUGCGUUGUUGGGUAGGGGAGCGUUCUGUAAGCCUGCGAAGGUGUGCUGUGAGGCAUGCUGGAGGUAUCAGAAGUGCGAAUGCUGACAUAAGUAACGAUAAAGCGGGUGAAAAGCCCGCUCGCCGGAAGACCAAGGGUUCCUGUCCAACGUUAAUCGGGGCAGGGUGAGUCGACCCCUAAGGCGAGGCCGAAAGGCGUAGUCGAUGGGAAACAGGUUAAUAUUCCUGUACUUGGUGUUACUGCGAAGGGGGGACGGAGAAGGCUAUGUUGGCCGGGCGACGGUUGUCCCGGUUUAAGCGUGUAGGCUGGUUUUCCAGGCAAAUCCGGAAAAUCAAGGCUGAGGCGUGAUGACGAGGCACUACGGUGCUGAAGCAACAAAUGCCCUGCUUCCAGGAAAAGCCUCUAAGCAUCAGGUAACAUCAAAUCGUACCCCAAACCGACACAGGUGGUCAGGUAGAGAAUACCAAGGCGCUUGAGAGAACUCGGGUGAAGGAACUAGGCAAAAUGGUGCCGUAACUUCGGGAGAAGGCACGCUGAUAUGUAGGUGAAGUCCCUCGCGGAUGGAGCUGAAAUCAGUCGAAGAUACCAGCUGGCUGCAACUGUUUAUUAAAAACACAGCACUGUGCAAACACGAAAGUGGACGUAUACGGUGUGACGCCUGCCCGGUGCCGGAAGGUUAAUUGAUGGGGUUAGCGCAAGCGAAGCUCUUGAUCGAAGCCCCGGUAAACGGCGGCCGUAACUAUAACGGUCCUAAGGUAGCGAAAUUCCUUGUCGGGUAAGUUCCGACCUGCACGAAUGGCGUAAUGAUGGCCAGGCUGUCUCCACCCGAGACUCAGUGAAAUUGAACUCGCUGUGAAGAUGCAGUGUACCCGCGGCAAGACGGAAAGACCCCGUGAACCUUUACUAUAGCUUGACACUGAACAUUGAGCCUUGAUGUGUAGGAUAGGUGGGAGGCUUUGAAGUGUGGACGCCAGUCUGCAUGGAGCCGACCUUGAAAUACCACCCUUUAAUGUUUGAUGUUCUAACGUGGACCCGUAAUCCGGGUUGCGGACAGUGUCUGGUGGGUAGUUUGACUGGGGCGGUCUCCUCCUAAAGAGUAACGGAGGAGCACGAAGGUUGGCUAAUCCUGGUCGGACAUCAGGAGGUUAGUGCAAUGGCAUAAGCCAGCUUGACUGCGAGCGUGACGGCGCGAGCAGGUGCGAAAGCAGGUCAUAGUGAUCCGGUGGUUCUGAAUGGAAGGGCCAUCGCUCAACGGAUAAAAGGUACUCCGGGGAUAACAGGCUGAUACCGCCCAAGAGUUCAUAUCGACGGCGGUGUUUGGCACCUCGAUGUCGGCUCAUCACAUCCUGGGGCUGAAGUAGGUCCCAAGGGUAUGGCUGUUCGCCAUUUAAAGUGGUACGCGAGCUGGGUUUAGAACGUCGUGAGACAGUUCGGUCCCUAUCUGCCGUGGGCGCUGGAGAACUGAGGGGGGCUGCUCCUAGUACGAGAGGACCGGAGUGGACGCAUCACUGGUGUUCGGGUUGUCAUGCCAAUGGCACUGCCCGGUAGCUAAAUGCGGAAGAGAUAAGUGCUGAAAGCAUCUAAGCACGAAACUUGCCCCGAGAUGAGUUCUCCCUGACUCCUUGAGAGUCCUGAAGGAACGUUGAAGACGACGACGUUGAUAGGCCGGGUGUGUAAGCGCAGCGAUGCGUUGAGCUAACCGGUACUAAUGAACCGUGAGGCUUAACCUUACAACGCCGAAGCUGUU
rnacentral:rRNA from 1 species